rnacentral:lncRNA from 1 species
GCCGCGGGGGCUCCCAUCCCAUCCGCCGCGGGCAGCCCGGCUCCAAGUGCCGCGUUAAUUACCAGCAACUCCCCCUGGGGAGAGCCAAAGCCAACUGGGGUCACCAUGGAAACCCAGACGGCUGCAGUGUGGCCAGAUUGUUAACGGGCUCCCGGCGAGCUCAGCCAAUUUCCUUUCUGGGGAAGCGGAGGAGGAGCGGGCCGGGGUCUUGCACCGCCGCGUGGGACUGGGAAGGCCCAGAAGGGGGGACGGCGGUUUUCCUGAAGGUGGAAAAAGCUCGGCCCUUGACGCCCAGCGCCGGGGGACUUCGACGCCCAGGCCCGACUUCUGUCAAGACCCUCAGCAAACCCCGAAGGCCAAAAGAAAUAUGGGGGGGAUGAGGGGAAGCCGCUCUCCCUGGCUCUUCGGCCGUUCUCUCUCCGGCCUGUUGGGGAACACGGCGGUCUCCAGAGAAACAUUCUGGGUGUGCCAAAGGGCGACGCCAGGCAGCAGCAACAUGUGGAGCCAUGUGCGUGAAGUGGGGUGAGGAACAUCAUCGGGGAACCCAUGACUGGAU